GUUUCGAAUCUUAUUUGGACAUGGUAAGAACACAAAAACCCGGCAACUCGCACAUCUGGAUCGCAGUAAGCACUAUCCUUUGAUCCCAUUUUGUAUUCCAAUUUGAUGCGUGGAAGCUAUUAGCUUGAUUUCGAUCUCAUACAAACGACGUAUACAUCAUCUGCCAUUACCAACUGGUUUUAAAUGGCUUUGAGGAAGAUAAUGU
rnacentral:misc_RNA from 1 species